UGUACUACGGAGCCAAGUCCUUGCGGGGCACAGACAGAAAACACUAUAAAUCCACACCUGGCAAAAAGGUUUCCAUCGUGGGCUGGAUGGUGCAGCUGCCCGAUGACCCCGAGCACCCAGAUAUCUUCCAGCUGAACAACCCUGACAAAGGCAAUGUUUACAAGUUUCAGACUGGUUCCCGAUUUCAUGCAAUACUGUGGCACAAGCAUUUGGAUGAUGCAUGUAAAAGCAACAGGCCUCAGGAAGCCGGAGCAGCUCCAGGUCCAACAGGAACUGACAGCCACGAGGUGGACCACCUGGAGGGUGGUAUGGGGAAGGAGGCAGGGCCCUGUGCCUGAAGCCUGGGCACCAUGGUGGCCCCAGUCAGGAGCAACAGUGGUAGCCCUGAGUAAAACCCAUUGUCCCUCUUUGGAGGAGCGGCCAGAGGAUGACAGCAGCCCCAGCAGGCAGCAGUGCCUGGGCAGGCUGAUCCAGCAGAGCACUAAUGGGUCAGUUUCAUAUAUUGGCAAAUGUGGUGUAGCAUGGCAAGGCUACAAGUUUUAAGGAUUUUUGUCUGAUUUUCAGACCUAGAGGAGGGGAUUUUUCUUCCUACUUUCCCCCUUUUUUAUUUCUAAUUUACUUUCAACCAAAUAUUACCACUAUGUGCUAUAUGUAAUAAUAAAAAGUUGACAACAACUGAAA
rnacentral:sRNA from 1 species